GUGUGUGUGUGUGUGUGUGUGUGUGUGUGUGUGUGUGUGUGUGUGUGUGUGUGUGUGUGUGUGUGUGUGUGUGUGUGUGUGUGAGUUUGUAAAACCUACCAACCGGGGAAAAUCGUAUGAAUACACACCAACAAACCGGGGAACACCUACCAACCGGGGAAUUCCCCGGUUGGUUUUAGGCGAAAAUCUCUAAUCUACGUGAAUGAAAUACCAAACUGUCAAUUUAAAUUAGAAAUCCAACGCCUUCCCCGAUUAGCGGGUUUGUGGCAUGCACAAAAUAUACACAAAUCUUCACCAUAUUACAAUCGAGUGUGUAUCCAGGCUUAUAACAGUUCCCCGGUUGCGCUGUUUAAAAAUCAUACACUCGGUAUUUAUAUCAUUUAGUGAAAGUCAGUUGGAAAAAUGGAGUUUCGAGCGAACAAACGCAUUAAACUAAGGCAACACAAUGACUACUAGAUCUACGGACAGCCAGGAACCAGGACAAACAACAUCCGUACACACGGAAGAAGUCGAUGAGACGAGUACCGAAACUAAAGAACAUAGCGACACUGCACACGAGUACAAUUCACAAGAUGCAGCAGAAAAUAUGUUGAACAGUGAAUCAUCGGAUAUCGAUGAUAGUGACAAUGACAAAGACUAUAUUCCGGAAGAAGGCGAUGCAUCGUCAGAUGAGUCGAUAGUUGUCGAACUCAUACCAAACAUUCAAAGAUUUCAAAAAAAGACAGCGUCAACACUACCUCCUGUUGAAUCCUUGCAAUCUCGUGCACGUGACGAAUCAUCCGCAGAGGCACACAAAACCAACAUCACCAUCGCUCAAACAAAUAACAGUGAAUACAGACAUUACGAUAAGAGAUUUUAUUGCAUGUUUUGCGAAAAGGCUCAAAUAAAACUAAAAAAAACAUUUGCUUUUGCAGCAUAAAGAUGGGCAAGAUGUGAAAGAUCUAUUAAA